GAGAAUCAAAUAAUCCUUUUGCUAAGGAAGAAAAUCAGCUGGAACGGAUACUGUCAUGUCAUCUUCUUGAAGAAAGCUUUCAAUACAGUGCCUCUUCUCUGACCCAUUGCCCCUCCUUCGGCCAGAUGAGCUGAAGGCAGCCUAGUGCACAGCACCUUUCAGAUUUAAAGAGGCAGGCACAACUUGGGGGCAGGUGCCUCCCCUGAUCAUGAAGUUAUGUAACCGGGGCUCCCAUCGGUGAGGCUGAAUCCAUGGCAGCUCCCAUCUAGCUCUAACUUUGUCUUCUUUUCAACUCAUGCCUGCCUUGACCUAAAAUUUGCCCACAAUGUGGGUCUUGCUCUUGCCCUGUCCUUGCUCUCUUGGCUUCUGACUCUAGACCCCACCUCUUACUCUGCUCUCCUGGCAUGGAUGUGCAUGGCUGACUAUGUCUUCCUCCAUCUAACUUUAGUGUCACCACCUCCGGUUAGGGCACACUAUAGGCUGACCUCUUUAAGUGACUACCGUGGAUGACCCCAGAGGGCUGCCCACACAUGUCCCGAGAUAUGGCCCAUCGGAAGGCAGAUGAGAAGUCCUCUAGUGAGGCAGGAGCUCACUUCAGGAGUUAGUCUUCUUGCUGUGCCUUCUCUCUGCUCCUCUGAGGAUGGGUGGAUCCGAGAACCUUCGUCUAAUCAAGUUUCAGAUUUACCUCUCCCACUAUAUCUCUGGAUAUCCACAAGGCGGCUGAGGUUUACACACUUACACCACGGUCUCGCCUGGUUCUCAGGACUACAAUGGCUUUCUUGGGUCUAUAGCUUGCCGGUGGUGGAACACUGGACGUCUCAGCCUCCACAAAAGUGUGAGCCAAUUCCUCAUAAUCAAUUAUCAAUCCCCCUCUCUCCCUCCCUGCCUACAUUUGUAUAUGUAUCUAUUAGUUCU